GGACAGUGAGAGACAGGGAGGUGUGGAAGUAGUAGUGUGCGUGAGUUAAGCGGAAGUACGGGGCGUAAAGCGAGAUCGGGAGGGGAGUUAAGCAAGAUGUGAAAGCCCGGGACGUAACCUGGGAACUGCGGUUUGAACUGGGUAACUAGAGUGUGGCAGAGGGGGGUAGAAUUCCACGGGUAGCAGUGAAAUGCGUAGAGAUGUGGAGGAAUACCGAUGGCGAAGGCAGCCCCCUGGGAUAACACUGACGUUCAUGCUCGAAAGCGUGGGUAGCAAACAGGAUUAGAUACCCGUGUAGUC
rnacentral:rRNA from 1 species